rnacentral:rRNA from 1 species
UUGACGGGGCCCGCACAAGCGUGGAGCAUGUGGUUUAAUUCGACGCAACGCGAAAAACCUUACCUGGGCUUGACAUGUUGGUAGUAGUGCACCGAAAGGUGACCGACCCUUCGGGGAGCUUGCACAGGUGCUGCAUGGCUGUCGUCAGCUCGUGUCGUGAGAUGUUCGGUUAAGUCCGCUAACGAGCACAACCCUCGUCGUGUGUUAUACGUGUCACACGAUACUGCCGGUAUCAAGCCGGAGGAAGGUGGGGAUGAUGUCAAGUCAGCAUGGCCUUUAUAUCCUGGGCUACACACACGCUACAAUGGCAGAUACAAUAGGUCGCUAAACCGCGAGGUGGAGCCAAUCCUCAAAGUCUGUCUCAGUUCAGAUUGUAGGCUGCAACUCGCCUGCAUGAAGUCGGAAUCGCUAGUAAUCGCAGGUCAGCAUACUGCGGUGAAUACGUUCCCGGGCCUU